rnacentral:rRNA from 1 species
AGAUUGAACGCUGGCGGCAUGCCUAACACAUGCAAGUCGAACGGGAGUAGCAAUACUCUAGUGGCGGACGGGUGAGGAAUACGUAGGAAUUUGCCCUUAAGUGGGGGAUAACCCGGGGAAACCCGGAUUAAUACCGCAUGACCUCGAAAGAGCAAAGUGGGGGAUCGCAAGACCUCACGCUUUUGGAGAAGCCUACGUCGGAUUAGCUAGCUGGUGAGGUAAUGGCUCACCAAGGCGACGAUCCGUAACUGGUCUGAGAGGAUGAUCAGUCACACCGGAACUGAGACACGGUCCGGACUCCUACGGGAGGACAGCAGUGGGGAAUAUUGGACAAUGGGCGCAAGCCUGAUCCAGCAAUGCCGCGUGUGUGAAGAAGGCCUGGUGUAGACAGUUAA